CAGUCGCCGCGGUAAAACGUAGGGUGCAAGCGUUAAUCGGAAUUACUGGGCGUAAAGCGUGCGCAGGCGGUUUGUUGAGACAGAUGUGAAAUCCCCGGGCUCAACCUGGGAACUGCAUUUGUGACUGGCAAGCUAGAGUAUGGCAGAGGGGGGUGGAAUUCCGCGUGUAGCAGUGAAAUGCGUAGAUAUGCGGAGGAACACCGAUGGCGAAGGCAGCCCCCUGGGCCAAUACUGACGCUCAUGCCCGAAAGCGUGGGGAGCAAACAGGAUUAGAUACCCGCGUAGUCCCUGUCUCUUAUAC
rnacentral:rRNA from 1 species